rnacentral:lncRNA from 1 species
AUGGGAGGAGGCCUGUUCGGAGGACUACAUCCCCCAGAGGCCCUCGCGGGGGGAGCCCGAGCCCCCCUCCCUCCCCUCCCGCAUUGUGUCUGCGAGGAGGCCUUUCUCCCUGGCCGCCUUCUGCGUCUGCGUGGGCCCGUGUGCGCCGUGUGGACGACGGGCUUUGCCUCUCUUCCGAGCCGCUUUCGGCCUCUUCGACUAGGCCGCCGCCAUUUCUCCAACUGCAGCCAACGGGCCUUUUCUUCGCUGAGGACCGUUGGAGGAAGACCCGGAUCGCGAAUCGUCCCCACAAGAUUCAUCACAAAAGCAGAGAAGACUCUGAGGGAGGAAGAUAGUAGAUACACCUCUCAGACCUAUAUAUCUAUAUCUCAGUCCUCAGGAAACGCUGCAGCCCUGAGAGACUUGAUUCGAACGUCUGGAUGCGCCAACGCGUGUCUUUCUUCUGCUUUUCACGUGUUUACCCAGGUCGGAUAUCGAAAUUAUCGACUUUUUAUUUUUAUUUUUUCUUGGGGUGACUCCAAAUUUCACCCCGAAAGGGUUUUUUUCAGUCCACACACACACACAUACAAAAAGAGACCCAGAAGCAAGAAAAAGGAACCCAAGGAUACAAGGCAGGAGAAGGAUCAGCAUCUGCUUCCAACCAAAGUAGGAGAGUCAAAAGGGUUGGGUGUUGAGGAACCAGAGCUCAUCUGCAAAAUUGAGCCAGAGGAAGAGCGAUGGAACGCAAAUGAACAAGCUGCUAAAGAGCGGCAAAUCUUACCCGGAAGCAAGUCAGAAGUCCACAGCCCGAUUCUCCUACUGCCUUCUGUUCCCUGUGAUAAACCAAGCAGCUCUGCCUCAACACCAGAUGGGGCUGUAUCUCCCUCCCCUAGCCCCAUACCUGCCCCUGCAAGGUCUUUUGCCGCUGAGCGCCUGGACAACAUCCGGAAGCGGAAGAGGAGAAACAGGCAAGACAUGGCCCUGGAGAUUACUCAGGCGGCUGAUAGGCGGGUCGAAAUGGCCACUGACCGGAUCCUGACAGCUCUCGGAGAAUAUGCCAAGGCGGAUCUGGAGGACCGCGAGCGGGAUCGCAUGGACACAGAACAGAUCAUUGCACUCAUGAACCGCCAGACAGAACUCCUGGAGUCACUGGUACGAAAGCAGACUGAGGCCCGGAUCCCACGCCUCGCGCAGCCGAACCAUCCGGCAGAACCUUCGACCCUGCGCUUGGGCAUCGCCAGGCGGCAUGCAGCCAAGGCCAAGCUCAGCCGAUGACUCCGGAGUUGUCGGCCCAGCUUUAAGACAACAGGCUUUCCCGUGACUUGGUAGCAUGCAGGACUUGGGGGAGGGUACCUUUGUAAGAGGGUUGUGGCUUUAUCUUUCAGGGAUUUUUUGUUCCCACCCCUUUUUACAGUGAAUUGAUUUAUUUGCCAAUUGUAUAAAAAGAACAAAAAAAUUAAAUAGGAACACAACGUGCUUUUUAAAAACAUGACGGUUACGUUUUAUUUAUGUUCCACCUUUCAUCUACAUGGAUCCAAGGUGAUGACGGAGAGGGAAACCACGAGGUGUAUUUAUAACCAUUUUAAUACUCAAUAUACAAGUGGGUCUGUGGCAUAGACGUUGCUGUAUUGCAUUUCAUCAUCCCUGACUAUUGGCUGUGCUGGCUAAGACUGUUGGAAUUGCAGUCCAGCAGUAUGUGGAGGGCAACGCAGUUCUCCAAUCCUGGUAAAAAAGUCUCUUAAGAAUAUAGGUCUCUUGACUCAAUUCAGUACCAGCCGCUGAGAUGCUGUAACUGGACCACUGAGCCUUGUACCUUGGUGAUAACCUGGGCUGUGUGGGUCCUUGUGGACAGAUCAAAACUGCGGAAAGAGAACAGCCAGCUGAGGUGGUUUCUCAGAGUUGCAUCCAAAAUAAUAAUAAUAAAAUUAUUAUUAUUAUUAAUUGCAAAAUAAUAAUUAUUAUUUUCAAUUGCAACUCUGAGAAACCACCUUAGUUGGAUGUUCUCUUUCCACAGCUUUGAUCUGUUCACAAGCACCUCUACAUCCCAGGUUGCAAUCCCAGAUGAUAGCAGGAUUCACGAGCAGCAACUAGAAAAGCUUACACGAUAUGAUUUAAAGAUUGAACUGCAAAGACUCUGGCAGAAGCUAGUAAAGCUGGUCUCAGUGGUGAUCGGCACACUGGGUGCAAUGCCUAAAGACCUUGGCCAGGACUUGAAAAAAAUCGGUGCUGACAAAAUUACCAUCUGUCCGCUGCAAAAGGCCACCAUACUUGGAUCUGAAUGAAUUAUUCGCCAAUACAUCACAGUCCUAGACACUUGGGAAGUGUCCGACAUGUGAUCCAAUACAAAAGUCAGCAUAGUGAUCUUGUUUCCUGUGUACUAAUCUUGUUGUGUAUUAAAUAAUAAUCAUAAUAGCAGCAGCAGCAACAACGUUAUUUGUUCCCCACCUUUCUGCAUGGCUCGAGGAAAAGUACAACAUAGUCAAAACACACAGAUAAAAUACAAUUAAAAUAAAUAUACAGGCAGUUCCCAAGUUACAAACAUCUGACUUACAAACAGCUCAUAGUUAAGAACAGGGGUGAGACAACAGGAAGUGGUAGAAAUCUACCCCUCAGAAGGGGGAAUUCACUCCUUUAAGAGUUCUCAUGGGGGAAGGGUGUCUCAACUGCAGUUUUAUCAUCAAUCCUUGUUUUUAUAACAGGUAAAUUUUUUAAAAAUCCAACUGUCACAGGGACAGAAAGCGAGGUAAAAUCUAAACGGGCACAGGGAACAAAACAAAUGCCACAGGGGUGUUGACCCUUCCCUAUGCUAUUCAAAUAUAUGUGGCUGGAGUUACACAUUAAAAAAUGUACCUGUUCUGACUUACAAAUUAACUUAUGAACAAACUUAUAGAACUUACCUUGUUCAUAAUUUGGGGGUUGACUCUAGUAAAAUACAUAGAACAAAUAGUAAUAAAAUUUAAAAUUAAUAAUUUGACAGGGUAGAUGUGCUGGAAGAGAGAAAUCUUUUGUGUUUUAAAUUUUAACAGCUCCGUUGGCUGUCAGAUCACUUCCAGCAGGUUAUUCCAUGGUCUUGGGGCAGCUGAUGAAAAAGUCCUCUGUGUGACAGUCACUAGUCAGGUUCUGGCUGGAUGGAGUAAAGGGCAAAUUGUAUGGAAGAAGGUGAUCUUGAAGUAACCUGGACCCAAACCAUGUAGGGCUUUAAAGAUAGUGACCAACACUUUGUUCUUUGCCCAGAAACUAAUUGGCAACCAGUGGAGUGGUUUUAGUAUAGGUGUAAUAUGAUCACUCCUAGAUGUUCCUAUAACUACUCUGGCUGCUGUGUUUUAAAUGAACUGGAGUUUUUGAACUUGAUCCAGAGGUAGCCCAAUGUAAAGUGCAUUGCAGAAGUCCAACCUUGAGGUGACCAGCGCAUGUGGUACCACUUGAGAUAGCUUUCCCAAACUGUGUGCAUAGCAGGUAGCACAGCAGGGAAAGGAUCUUUAUGAGAGUCCUCAUUUUGACAGGGGAGUUAUGAGAAGAGCUUAUGAGAUCUAGAUCAGGCAUGGCAAGACUUAAUAUAGCAACAUAUGGCAAAUUUAUGAGAUUGGUUUUGGGCUUUUCUCCCCCGAGAAUCCUGAGAUCCAACAAAGUAGAACUGUGUGCAAAAUGAAAUCUCCUCCUAUCAAGUUUAGAAUUAAAGAACAGGGCAUUUCAGAGCAAUAAUUCAUUUCCAGUAGUAGAAUUAAUCUUAUAGUCCUUUAACAUCUAAAUCCAUUCCUGGUCACACACAUCUGCUUUUUUUAUUCCAUAUCAGCAACCUAGUUGAGAGGUGGGAAAUGAUUACAGCAGUAGAAAUUGGAAGUAAAUAUGUAAUGCUUUACUGAAAAUCUUGAGAUCGACCAUUACAUUCUUACUGUCUGUCUGCUUCUACCUUCAAUCUUUCUACAAAGCACUAUGAAUCAACUAGGGAAAAAUGCAUGUGGGGUCAUCGCUUUCACGAAUUGUGCUAGGGAGGGUUAAUGUUUCAGAAACCUCACAUGCUGCUCCUUUUAAUGCCUCAGGCAGAGAAAGUGAGAAACAACAAGUUUCUGUCCUUUUAUGACAGACCAGAUUUGCUGCCUAAAGCAGCCCCUUUCUUUCCACUUAAUGAUCUGCUAUUCAGGAACACAGGAAUGUGGGAUUAGUUUGACACAACCUGUUUUUGAGAAACACCUGAUGGCUCUUAGUUACUAGCUUUCCUUUCCAAAUGGGCACAGACUAACUGUUUAAUGAUCUAGACUGGAACAUUUAUAUUAUAGUCAUCGAACCAACAGGUUACAGUUGCCAGAUCCUCUUUUUAAAGAUGGGGGCAACGUUCAUCGUCCUCCAGUCUGCUUCGACUUCUUCAGUCCUCUUAGAAUUAUUCUAUCAAAGAUUAUGGACAGUGGCUCUGAAAUUACAUCUGCAAGUUCCUUUAUCAUUCCUGGAGGCAGCCCAUCUAGCCACAGAAACUUGAAUUAGUUUAGAAUAACUAAAGUAGCUUUUGUUGACCAUGUCUCUACUGCAGGUCUAUUCCCAACUGGUUAUCAGUCUGAUUUUUGUAAUCCAUCCUUCAUCUACCACUAAUUGAUUUUAAGGAGGUGGAGAUUUAUUUAUUUAUUAUUUAUUAACCCCAUUUAUACCCCACCCUUCUCCACCCCGAAGGGGACGCAAAGCGGCUUACACAUGGCAACUAUUCAGUGCCUCACUACAUACAAAAAGCUUAAAAUAAAUCAAAUUAAAAUUAUUACAUUAUCAACAGUUAAAAAACAAUACAUUCAACAUUAAAACCAUGUCAUCCAAACCAUAGUCCGAGGCCUUUUGGUAAUCAUUUCACAUAUGCUAGGUCCAUUUUUGCACUAAAUUAUUUCCCAAAAGCCUGGUCCCAUAACCAAGUUUUCGCUUUCCUUCUGAAGGUUAGAAGGGAGGGGGCUGAUCUAAUAUCGCUAGGGAGGGGCCACCACUGAGAAGGCCCUGUCUCUCAUCCCCGCCAGCUGCACUUACGAAGCGGACGGGACUGAGAGCAGGGCCUCCACAGAUGAUCUUAAUCUUCGUAGAGGGAGAUACGUACAGACAGGUAAGCUGGGCCAGAACCGUUUGGUGAUUUAUAGGCUAUAAAGAGCACUUUGAAUUGUGCUCAGAAACAAACUGGCAGCCAGCGCAGCUGGCACAACAGGGGAGGUGUGUGCUUCCUGAAUGCCAUUCCGGUGAGCAUCCUGGCUGCUGCCCGUUGGACCAGUUGAAGCUUCCGAACAGUCUUCAAAGUCAACCCCAAGUAGAGCAUGUUGCAGUAAUCUAUACGGGAUGUAAUGAGCUUGGAUCACCGUGGCCGAGUUCAUCCCUUUUCAUCAUGGUGUUCUAAUCAUCCCUGGAAAAUUUCAGAAAGUAUAAUUUUAAUAAGUUAACUUUUCCAAAUCCUGGUCUUACUCUUUGUCAUAAUCCUGUACUCAAAUAUUUGCAUAGAUUAAUACCGAGACAAGGAAGUCCCCAGUGGUGCAGUGUGUUAAAGCGCUGAGCUGCUGAACUUGCAGAACAAAAGGUUGCAGGUUCAAAUCCCUGGAGCGGAGUGAGCGGCCACUGUUAGCUCCAGCUUCUGCCAACCUA